rnacentral:lncRNA from 1 species
AUGCAUCAAUGCCAAACCCAAACAAAAAGGAGAUAAGCCAUUUUCACAUGGCUAUUAGUUACACAUACACAUUAGUUCUAAAAUCAACAUAUUAACUAUGCUAUACAUGCCAUAUACUUAAGAUCAACUUAGUAAAGUACCGAAGGAAACUGUCGAUAGUGUGAUAAGUCUUGCUGACGAUCCCCGAGCUCGUAACCACUUCCAAAAUCUAUAAAACAAAGAAUAAAUAUACACACAGUAAGCUUUAGCAGCUUAGUAAGUCAUAAGCAAAUAUUUUUCACAUUAACAUUAUUAUCAACCAAUUUACCAAGCUACUAAAUAAAAUAUUUAUAUAUACAUUUAGCUUUAUAAAGUCGUAUGAAUAAACACUUAAAUACAUGUAUCUUAUUCAUGUCAUAAAUUAUAAUAGUACUAAUAGACCCAAAUCUCUAAUAAAUACAAACUUACUUACACAUUAUACAUUUAUCAAUUAAUCUUGAAUCAUCAAUUCAAUAUAAACUUACCUUAGCUUCGUUGAACUUUAAAAUUUGUUUCCACACUCGGUCUUUAAUUAACAUUGCCCGUUGAACCGUUCGGAAUUAAAAAGGAUACGUGGAAUAGUCGGAAAGCUCGUACAAUGCCAACGUCCCAGACGUGGUCUUACAUGUAUUCACAAAUCGAUGUCACUAUCCCAGACAGAGUCUUACUCAUAAACACAAAUCAAUGCCAACGUCCCAGACGUGGUCUUACACGAAAACGCAGAUCGGAAAUCCUAUGUCAUGACAUAAGUAUCCUAUCUAUUCCUAGGGUUCGUACAGGGCUUUUGAAUACAGAAACCGGAUCAAAUCGAACUCAAAAAUACAUCUCUCUAAUUCAAUACACAUUCGGCCAAACACAAUAUAUUCAUAAAAAAAAUUCAUUCAUAAUGUGAUAUUUAUAUAUUAUCAAAUUUAACAACCAUUAAAUGCUUAGAGACUUACCUCGGAUGUCGUCGACUAUUAAAUUAGCUACUCGACCACCUUUGUCUUUCCCCGAUCCAAAAUAGAUUUCUUUAAUUCUUGAUUUAAACAUAUUCAAAUUAAGCUUGUUUAAACACCAUUCUAUUCAAUUUAACCUAAAAACACAUAAAUGGGAAAAUUACAAUUUUUCCUCUAACAUUUCACACUUUUUACAAUUUAGUCCUUUUUGCUCAAAACACAAAAUAUGCAAAAUUUAACUACACUCCUUUAGAGCCGAAUAUUCCUAGGGUCUUUACAAGCUCAUACAUUUCAUUUAUUUCAUAUUUUAGCCCCUCAAAAAUUUAUUUUUACAAUUUAACCCUAAUUACUCAAAUUCAUCAAAAAUUCAAAGACAAAACAUGUUAAUCUUUCACAUAUCUUUCAUAUUUCAUCAUCAACUAUCACAAAGCUCAAGCAUUCAUCAAUGGUACAUUUCAAAAUCAUCAACAAUUCACAAAAUUAAAGCAUGGAUUUUGAAGUAUUAGAAGCAACGAUCUCAAAAACGUAAAAAUUAUCGAAAACCAAACAAAAACGAACCUUGAAUUUAAGCUUGAAGAUGGCCGAAACUUAACUAAGCUUUCAUGGCUUUCUUCC